GCGGCGCUACGAGCACGCCCCGCGGGGAGGCGCUGCCUGGCGACUGCGCAGGCGCGGCACGCUGGAGUAGCCCCUUGGCACCCCCCACACCCCGCCGGGCGUCUUCCGGGGGUCGCCCUCCUGGCUACGCUGCGGAGGCUCCCGGUCCCGUUUGUCGCGUGUGUCGAGUUGAAGGUCUCGGCGCACUGACAGGCUCGGACGGCCAUAUGUUCCGGUGCAGCGGCGGCUCGUAAACGCGAGAAAAAAGUGGCGCCCUGGGUCGUUAAUGGGCUCUUUGCUAAAAUGAGACGCAUCCCCGGAGUGCCCGCCCUCGUGGCUAAUCGUGACGGGAGAAACAUUUAGACCUCCAUCCCGCUUAACGAGCAAGAGUUGACGUUCCAGAGAGCAGCAGUUUGAAAUGGAAAAACUGGCCGGGCUGCUCAGGUUAAAUAGUCGUCCUCCUGCCCUGCCAUUCCCAGUGUGUUGCACCGCCGCAAAGCACACCUAGAAUGUCAUGGCUGAGAAGUUGAACCUGUGGUUCGUCCUGAUACAGGAGAAAACCCUGAGACAUCUGGAAACAGGGAUUGAGACAGAAGUAAAAACUAUAUUUUUACACCCUGCCGCCCCCCCCCCCGCAAACAAAUGCUAUGUAUAUUUAAUAUGUAACUAAAAUUGGUCUUUGAGGCAGUUAGGGUAAUCACAUUUCAAUCUCCCUUUUUUUUAAAAGCUUGGCUUGCGUUCUUCCCAAUCACCCCUAAAACCUCCCUACUGAAAAUGCUUGUCUUCUUUAAUACACCUCGCCCUUCAGUUUGUCUCUAUGAUUGCUCUUGUUACUCAAACCUUAUCCUCUAUGGAUCAUUCUCUUUCCAGUUCGGAGUGUCUUAAGAUAAUACCAACAAUUCUAAUAUAACUGUGCAAAUCAAAAUGAGCUAUGGUCAGUGCUACACAGGUUUGUCAUCAAUUAAGGCAUGACAUUGUGCACCUCGGGGACUCCAUUGAUGGCGUGAUUCUCCCAUUCAAAAUAAGUUUGAUUAACUCAAGCCCCAGUAUUGUGAAGCAUUUUUUUUUAAUGUCAUGAUUUUUAAAUGUAGAAAGCCUAAUUAAUUCCACUACAUAAAUUUUGGGAAUUAGGGCAGCUAAAUAUGGAAAAUAAAUUUUUAAAACUA